rnacentral:lncRNA from 1 species
GGCGCUGUGGAAGUGGCGGCAGUGCUGGCUCGGCCCUAUCGUUCUACUCAAGCGUACUGUGGCGGUGGGCUCGCGCUGGGAUGAGCCCGCGGUGCCGAGCCGCGAAGUGGAGUCAUGGCCAGUACAGUGGUAGCAGUCGGAUUGACCAUUGCUGCUGCAGGAUUUGCAGGCCGUUAUGUUUUACAAGCCAUGAAGCAUGUGGAGCCUCAAGUAAAACAAGUUUUUCAGAGUCUACCAAAAUCUGUAAGAUCUAUAGGAGGAUCUCCUUAUAUAGCAGCCAAAAUCAAUGAAGCUAAAGACUUACUAGAAGGACAAGCUAAAAAAUAAAGUAAUCUGAUGAAUUUUAAGUCCAUUAGUCUACUUAUGAGCAUGUUUUUAAAUAAAAUGCCUCAGAGCUGUAACUCAUGAUGUAACUCAUGAAAAUUUCUUGGCAAAAGCU